rnacentral:lncRNA from 1 species
GGAGAUGUUGUCUUCCUGAAGAUUGGAGAUCAAAUUCCAGCAGAUGGGCUGUUCUUGGACGGUUAUUCACUGCAAGUGGAUGAAUCGAGCAUGACAGGAGAAAGUGACCAUAUGGAAGUAGAUGCCACCAGGAACCCGUUCCUUUUUUCUGGUUCGAAAGUGGCAGAUGGUUAUGGUCAAAUGCUUGUAGCAUCCGUGGGAAUGGAUACUACAUGGGGAGAAAUGAUGAGCUCGAUAACCAGUGAUAAAAACGAAAGAACUCCACUACAAGAACGACUUGACAGACUUACCUCUUCUAUCGGAAAGGUAGGUCUUGCGGUUGCCUUUCUAGUCCUUGUAGUCUUAUUAAUUCGUUAUUUCACUGGGAAUACAGAAGAUGACAAUGGGAACACGGAGUAUAUUGGUAGCAAGACCAGCGUAGAUGAUAUCUUAAAU